CCUACGGGUGGCAGCAGUAGGGAAUAUUGCUCAAUGGGGGAAACCCUGAAGCAGCAACGCCGCGUGGAGGAUGAAGGUUUUCGGAUUGUAAACUCCUUUUGUUAGAGAAGAUAAUGACGGUAUCUAACGAAUAAGCACCGGCUAACUCCGUGCCAGCUGCCGCGGUAAUACGGAGGGUGCAAGCGUUAUACGGAAUCACCGGGCGUAAAGAGCGCGUAGGCGGGAUAGCAAGUCAGAUGUGAAAUCCUAUGGCUUAACCAUAGAACUGCGUUUGAAACUGUUAUUCUAGAGUAUGGGAGGGGUAGGGGGGAUUCGUGGUGGAGGGGUAAAAUCCGUAGAGAUCAAGAGGAAUACUCAUUGCGAAGGCGACCUGCUAGAACAUAACUGACGCUGAUGCGAGGAAGCGUGGGGAGCAAACAGGAUUAGAUACCCUGGUAGUC
rnacentral:rRNA from 1 species